rnacentral:rRNA from 1 species
UACGUAGGGGGCAAGCGUUAUCCGGAUUUACUGGGUGUAAAGGGAGCGUAGACGGCAAUGCAAGCCAGAUGUGAAAACCCGCAGCUCAACUGGGGGAGUGCAUUUGGAACUGUGUAGCUGGAGUGCAGGAGAGGUAAGCGGAAUUCCUGGUGUAGCGGUGAAAUGCGUAGAUAUCAGGAGGAACACCAGUGGCGAAGGCGGCUUACUGGACUGUAACUGACGUUGAGGCUCGAAAGCGUGGGGAGCAAACAGG